AGUACUGUCUUGUAUCGCAACAGUACAUUCCUUGCAAAGCUUUGUUUAUUUAAAAGGAAAGACACAGAGUACUGAAACAAAAUUACAGCCAUAAUGAUAUCGCUUUGUUAGACAAAAUAAACUGUGAUGAAGACACAGGACAGAACAGCUGCUCUGGGACAACACUGUGAACUGGGAGGAGAUGAUGUGGGGUAAGGAAGAUGGAAAUAACACAGGUUUUUAGAGCUCUGAGGAUGUUUUGUGGGUGUUAAGGAGCCCCUAAUCAGAUUAAAUCUGAUGGUGGGACACGGACGUCACAGAAGAAGCUGACGCACAGAUGUUUGCAGGUGCUAUGGGCGUCCGAACCGUAAGCUGAGACACGAGGGCAGCGCCAGGGGCACUGACCGCAGCUGGUGAGGGACGAGGCCAUGCCGCCCCACCGCGAAUGCCGCGUCGGCGCGGUUCGCCGCUGCCGGCAGCGCCAGGAAUCACGCCGUGGACUCCAGCGCCCUGGAAAGCUGCCUGGCUCGGCUUCGCCGGUGGACCCGUGGCACGCUUACCCCGUUACACCGAUGCUGGCCGUUUCCCAAAAGAGUCGACAUGUCCCUGAGCUGAGGACCGAAAGCGUACAGGAACACAGCUGCCGAGUGGAUCUCGCUCUCCCUCAAUUGCCUUCUCAUCCUGACUGAUUUAUGUCUUAAGUUUUGCGUCAGCGAACUGUUGUAUUUCAGCAGAUGAUAUGAAUGACUGCAGAAUGAGAACAAUAACAACAACUAUAAUAAUAAUAAUAAUAAUAAUAAUAAUAAUAAUAAUAAUAAUAAUAAUGAUGAUAAUAAUGAUAAUAAUAAUAAUACAUUUGCUAGAGAUGGGAUUUGAACCAAGGCCUCUGACUUGCCCAAUGGCUCCACAGGCAAAUGUGUCCAGUCUGAGUGUUGUCAUGGUAACAAGCUACCAGAUGUCAUGGCUUUUACUGCACCUCACUAUGCUCACUAGCGAACUAGCCAAGCUAAACCUAAUACAUAACCGCAGUGGAAAAAGAAUGGAUACAUUGCUGUGCUAUGUAUUUUUCCAUUUAUAACAUGAAUACAGAAAACAUGCGUCUUUAUCCUGUGUGUUGAUGAACACUUUACAGAGAUUGAACAGGGUCUUGAAGAGAUCCAGCCCCACAGCUAUGGAGAACAGGGCUGUUGUGCGUGCUGAAACGAGGUCAUCAGGAAUCUGUGUCUGCACAGGGUCCAGCUCAACUGGGAUGGAAAAGAUUACACUCUUCAACCAUUUGUAGCUGUUUUCCAUGGAAGGAAUUAGUAGGAUUAAGUGCAAAAGUCAUUCACAGAACCAAGAUGUACAUGCUGACACUAUGGCCCUGCAAGGAAGCCUACCUAACUCUUGUUUACUUUGUUUGUCGUUCUAUCCUCAAAACUGCAAGUGUAUCUAUAUGCCCCACAACACACAAUUUUAGGUACAAUGGCAUGCAAAGUGGUGUUACACAUAACUGUGCAGAGAAAGAAUAAGAACAAAUGCCUUUUCUGGGAUAAUGUAAAUACCACGGACAAGUAUUUGGUUCAACAUAUGGAACAGUUAUAAAUAAUCGUUGUAAGGGGCAAAUCUUUACAAUUCACACGCAGCAUCGAAUAUGUUCAACAGGGGUUCACAGAAAAGCAAUGAACCAGCUGUGUGGAAGGAUGACGGACAACUGUGCUGCUUUCAGUUCAUUUUGUAUUGAAGAAGGUGGAAGAGGCCAUUUGUAUUCAAAGCAAAGUUCAGUUCCUCAAUUGGGUACGUUCCUCAUACAGUAUGUUUAUGUCAAAUGCAGGAGCAAAACAAUCAGCCUGAUUUCUUGCCUGAUUAGAAUUUUUUUGAGCAUGUACUUAUAUAUGGUAUAUAUUUAUAUAUAUAGAUUUUUAGAUUCUGGAAUUAUUGAAGCCAUUUGUUAUCCAUUUGUCACAAAUCAUGCACAAAUGAGUUAAAUUAUGUGAGUUACACAAUACAUACAUUUGAAAGAAAGAUUGCACUGCACCAUUUUUGGCCAAUUUGAAAACACAAUUUAUAAGCUGAUGACAUGAAAGGAUGGCAAAACAUUGAUCAAAUUUUAAAUCAGAUUUAUUUGUAUUUUACAGCAGUUGUCACAAUACGCUUUACAGACAACCCUGGCCUAAACCCCCACAGGAGCAAGCCUAAGGCAACAGUGGCAAGGAAAACAUCCCUGUGGCAGAUGGGAAGAAACCUCGGAAGGAACCAGGCUCAAGGGGGAAACCCAUCCUCCUCUGGUCGGCUCAGGGUGCCGACUGGUGACCAACAUGUCAAGUCGGUUUUACAGGGUUCAUAAUGUGGCUCAGAUGAUGGGCGGGGCCGGGUGGCGGCGGUGGGGAGCAGCAGGUGGCGACGGAUGUGGGCAGGGUGGAGGCAAUGACGAGGGGCUGGACCACAGUGGUGGGGGAGACCAGACGACAGCACUCUCGAUGAUUGGGGCAAGAGCCCCGGCAGCAUGGGGUAGAAGGUAGAAACGGCGAUUAGGGAAUUUGCAAUAGAACAGAUGGUGGGUAAAGUGGCAGUGGUAUGAAUUGGGGGUGCCCCCGCCAGGAAUAAUAUAUGGUUGCAUAGCUACUAGGACAGGGAUGGAGAGCUCAUGCAAUCAUGAGGGGGGGGACAACCAUACCCGCCUAUCAAGAGCCAGCCUAUGUAAAGUCAGGUCACAGCUGAUUGCCAGGUGACAGUAAGGAAAGGAUCGCCACCCCACAAUGCUCUAUGACAUGACUUGGUAUGACUUUUAUAUGAUUGUGAUGAUGAGGUCGAUGAUGAUGAUGAUGAUGAUGAUGAUGAUGAUGAUGAUGAUGCCAUGUGAAAAGUAAAUUUCUCUAUAAAUUCCAAAUAGUGGCAAGUGAUGUACAGGGCAGUCAAUGAGAGAAAGAAACAUCCACAGAAAUACCCGACAUUUACAAUAAAGAACAUAAUUCUUUAGGUAACCUCCGUUCACACACGGAUGAGCACACAAAAUGUGUUUCACGCAUUUAUGCAAAAAGUAUGUUUAUGUGAACCUGGUAAAAAAAAUAAUAAAUAAAAAAAAAGCUGUGACACGCUAUGAGAAUAUAGUUUAUAUCAUGUUGGCCAUGCCUGGGUGUGGUCAGGUAAUGGACCAUAGAACAAGUUUGCACAUGUGGAUAGGUAUGCUGCCCAUGCCUGAUAAAUGUGCCAAAUAUAGAAGGAAAGAAUGCACUGACAUCUGUGAAACACAUUUUUGGCGGCCAGAUGUGAUGGAAUCACGCUAUGUAGUCGAGAGUUACGAGUGGAUGAACAGAAGGAAGAAAAAAAAGAGAGGAAAAGGUGACAGGACCUGUACUUUAUAAUGUUUUUUCUUUGGUUGCCACUGCAACUCUCACUGUCUUUAAUAAAAUAUUAAACCAACAAAUAA